UCCUGGUCCAUGGACUUGAAAAAGAACUUGUAGCUGUGCACGGGCCGGUUGCUGAGGACAUUUUUGAAAUCGGCCAGCGUGACUUUCUCCGGCGGCACGGGCAGCUUCACCAGGCUGAGCACAGGGUGAACUCUCUCCUCCUUGCUGUGACACCUGGGCUGGCAGGGAUGACACAGUGACCUCGGCCGGCCGAUGCUGCCUGUGCCAUCACCUGGCACUGACGUGUUUGAUGAAAAUGCUUUUGCUGGGAUUUUUCUCCUGAGAAGCCUCAGAACAGAAAUGGAACCAAUAACGAUCUGAUGGCUGUGGAGUGUGGGCUGGAGAUGGUUUAGCAACAGGGGCAUCUUGGAUUGGUCUCCUGUGCAUUGUUUCUACUUGAUGACCAAUCAUGGUCCAGCUGUGUCGGGGCUGUGAGCAGUCCCAGGUUUUUAUUAUUCAUUCCUUUCCAGCUUUCUGAUGUCUCCUUGCUCUUUUAGUAUAGUUCUAAUAUCUCAUUUUCUUUUAAUAUAAUAGAGAUCAUAAAAUAAUAUUUCAGCCUUCUGAAA